AGAGUUUGAUCAUGGCUCAGAAUCAACGCUGGCGGCGUGCCUAACACAUGCAAGUCGAACGAGAAAGCGGGGGCAACUCCGUGAGUAAAGUGGCAGACGGGUGAGUAACACGUGAACAACUGCCCUCGAGUGGGGAAUAACACCGCGAAAGCGGUGCUAAUGCCGCAUAACAUCCCUGAGUCGCAUGACCUGGGGAUCAAAGGCGAAAGUUGCUUGAGGAGGGGUUCGCGCCUGAUUAGCUAGUUGGUGAGGUAACGGCCCACCAAGGCGACGAUCAGUAGCCGGCCUGAGAGGGCGAACGGCCACACUGGAACUGAGACACGGUCCAGACUCCUACGGGAGGCAGCAGUGGGGAAUUUUGCGCAAUGGGCGAAAGCCUGACGCAGCAACGCCGCGUGGAGGAUGAAGGUCCUCGGAUCGUAAACUCCUGUCAGGGGGGAAGAAAGCCCAAAAGGUUUGACUGUACCCUCUGAGGAAGCCACGGCUAACUCCGUGCCAGCAGCCGCGGUAAUACGGAGGUGGCAAGCGUUGUUCGGAAUUACUGGGCGUAAAGGGCGCGUAGGCGGUUUUGCAAGUCAGAUGUGAAAUCCCCGGGCUUAACUCGGGAAUUGCAUCUGAAACUGCUUUUCUUGAGUCCUGGAGGGGGUAGUGGAAUUCCCAGUGUAGCGGUGAAAUGCGUAGAUAUUGGGAGGAACACCUGUGGCGAAGGCGGCUACCUGGACAGUGACUGACGCUGAGGCGCGAAAGCUAGGGGAGCGAACGGGAUUAGAUACCCCGGUAGUCCUAGCCGUAAACGAUGGGCACUUGGUGUUGGGGGUAUUGAGUCCCCCGGUGCCGGAGUUAACACGUUAAGUGCCCCGCCUGGGGAGUACGGUCGCAAGACUGAAACUCAAAUGAAUUGACGG
rnacentral:rRNA from 1 species